AGGUUUUCGAUUCUUCCCAAAUCUCCAAAAUCCCACCCCUUCGACUCUCGCCCGCGUCGCUGCCCGCCGCCGUACUUCGGUGCCUCGUUCUUCUCGUCUAAAGACUCCGGCUUCUGUUUCCUGGAAUCCCACCUCCGCCGGCCUCCUCUGCCAGGUGCUUCAUCCUGACAGGCCGUCGCCUUGCCCUCGGUGGGAUUAUGAGCGACCACCACGAGUCGAGAAGCGGCGGCGAGGAAUCCCUUGCCCUGCCCCUAACGAGGGACUCUCCUCAGCUCGUGACCUUGUUGAAAGAGAUGAAGGAUGGGUUGGAUGUCGUGAGGAGCAAACUGGACGUCCUCACACAGAAGGCGUGCAUACAGUAAUAUUCAUGUAUGCACGCACACUGCGCGUGCUUACUUGAUCUUUGUUUUUCCCGACUCCCACAAAAUAGUGCCCGAUGCUUCUCUUCCGACGCUCCUGUCGAUGGCCACCGAGGAUGAGAGAUCCCGACGGUGGCCACUGUCGAGACGAAGACGACCAAGCACGAUCUCCAGCUCAGGUAAGGGCGACUCCCCGACCGAUGUCGCGUUCGCCAUCUCUCUCUCGUUGUCUUGACUCUCGAGCGCCCACUUCUUGAUCGUUACCAUUACCUGGGAAUUAGGGUAUUGGGAUGAUGAUCAACUAGUUCUACUAGGUCUGAUGAUGUUCUGUGGUUUCUUUCGACGCUACCUGUCUGUCUGCGUGCAUUGCCAAGUUAAUCGAGAAGGAGACGUCUCGGUAGACAAAACAUUUGACAUUGUUGAUGUCUAUUUAUUGUUGAAAAGGUGUUCCUCUGGUUUUUAGUGCAAAUCAGCAGAAAUUUGGUUUCCUGAAUCCCAAAUCGCAGAUAUAUACCUGUUGAAUAGAAAGAACGGCAAGAAAAGGGUCUGUUGUAGGUUAAUGAGUAAGGGGAAACAUGAACCGGCAGCAGCAUACUUAUGAGAGAGACAGGAGAGACCAAAAAGCAGAAUAGAGAGAGAAAAAGUAGAUAUUCGGCCACCACAACGCACAUCACAUGGAGGAAAAAACUUAGUUUGACUAAUUCAUUCAUCCCCAAUGACUUAAUAACUUCCUCCAAUCCAAUCUGUAUUCACAAUAGGGUUCUUGAUCCAAUCCUAAACCCAGAAAGAAGAAUACAAAUCACUUCAAACCCCUAAAAUCAUGUUUAUUAGAAGUAAACCUUGAUGAUUAAUGUUCCUGCCAUUGACAACGAUGAUCUUGAUUCACUUUUGUAGAUAUUGUUCUUACCUUAAUGAGAAUUCUAGCUUAUCAAUGGGUUUCUAUGGUAUCUUUCUUGAGUUCUGUAACCUCAACCUUGGGUGAUACAGCAUGAAGACACACUUUGGUUCCACUGAGAAUUGUAUAUAUAUAUUUUUCUCUAGCCGUCGUUUGCUACUCUACUGAUUUUUCUUCAAACUAAAUAUUGAAUUAUGAACCAACAAUCAAACUAGGAACUACUGUUAAUUUGAUGGUCCCUAGUGUAUAAUUAACUACCUGAUUAUCUUAAUAACCAUUAUAUUUGAUAUGACUGACCUAUAAGAAUAGAGGUGCGUGGAUUCACUAUAAUGCUGGAUUAUAUAUUAUGAUAGUGUUUAUGCAUAUUCUUUCGGUUGAUAAAUUGGCUGUGUCCUUGUCAUGGUUCACCUACCUGUGGAUUUCAGAAUAUAGGUUCCUUUUCAAUGAAAUAUUAUUGAUGCCAUUCUUUCUUUGUUGGCGCCACCAACCGCUGAUCAGUUGAUUUGUUACACUAGGCAUGUUAAGUUUUGUAGCCUUCUAAGCAAUCUUUCUUGCUAUCAUAAGACUACAACAAAAGAAGUUGUGAGGACAAAAAUUGCCAGAUAAUUCAUAAUAUAUCAAGAUCUUGAUAAUAUGAUUUUGCAAUCGUUAGUGGAAUGCAAUUUUUCUGUUGGCUUCUACAUCUUACUUUGAGUCGCUCAUUGGUUUGCUCCUUACUAUAACAGACUUCCUGAAAGUUUUAAUGGGUGCAUCAGUGGUCCUCUAUAUAAUUUCUUCUCUAAUGCAUUAGAUACAUGUGAUUUGUGCUUCAUAGAGCAGAGUGGCUCAAGUGGCUUCUUGUUGUAAGUUCAUCUCCUAUGGUGGACGGUGGACCAAAUGAGGAUAUUUCACGACAAGCCUAUCGCGGUUGCCAUGCUAAGCGAGUUGGGAUUCAAUGGACCAGCAUUAUCAGAGGAUCUAAUCAUUGAAGUCUGCAGAUGUGGAGGGGCAGAGCUCUAUCCAUUUGCAGUAGGUUCCCGAGAAGUAAUAUGGAACAAUUUGUCCUAUCGAACAGAACAUUCAUUCAAUGGAAUCGAUCAGAUGUCACAGGUAUCGGUCUUACAGUUGCUAGCUUCAAGGAAAGGUGGGAUUCUUCUCAUGAACACAGAUGACAGAGUAUGAAGAUCAUAUCAACCUUAUAGGUUAGCUCGUCGCUCACAUUCAGUUAUCUGGACAGUUAGAGCAUCCGAGCGUGACUCCAGUAGUUAUCGUUCGCUAAGUGCGACCAUUGUGCAUGUCAUAUAAUAUGACGGUGUGAUUGAGAGAUGGGAGUUCGUAUCUGUGCUGGUGCAUCAAUUGAUAAAGGGUCAGGUAAUAUUCAUGAGUUGACUGGCAUUGUCUGUUCUCUCCUCUCAGGAUUAGUAAGACGGGGAGCAUCAUUUGUCAGGCUUAUAUAAAUUUAUGGUCGACUGCUACUCUGUGGAACCGGCCAUGAUAGAAAUAGUAUGGUAGCAACGGCAUCACCAGGCAUCACCGCUGUCACAAACUUGUUGUGAGUAGCUUACUGGAGGUCGCAGGCUUUUGAGUCAUUAGGUAUCUCAUGAUCAUGUUUUUGUGAUGCACGAGUAUUGUUCUAUUUCUUUAACUUUGAUGGAUGAGGCCAUAUGCAGAUAAGUUUUCACAUACUGUAUGUAGCAGGGGAGCCACUGCUCGUCGACUAUCUAUUAUGAUAUAUCAUGUCAUGGACUCGGUUUGGUAGACCGACAGAUCCAAAGGUAAUUGAAGUUCAAAUAGGAAAAGCUUACCUUGUAAUGAAUGGUGCAACAGUAACAGCAUCGACAUCUUGAGCCUCAGAAAUAUGUCCAACGUCUCUGGAAUUCCAUCACCGCUUGCUGAUUCAGUUCACUUUAUUUCAUAUACAGGGAAACGCUCGACUACUUGUGUCUCUACCUUCCUAUCCUUCGUACUUGCUGUCUAAGAUAUCGAGCCAUGUAAGCCAAGCUUUCAAAUCAUGCUAUGCAACUCAUGUAUGACUGCAGCAAUCUGUGUUCGGGAUUUAAUGGUUUAAGCAUAUCUAACAUUUUUGUA